AAUAAGUUUACAAUAUUUAAGGAGAAAAAAUAAAUUAAGGAUGUAUAUCAUAGUUAAUUAUUUGGUUAGUCAUUAUUGCAUCUAUUUAUUUUUAUUUGUUUUUUAUUAGAAGUGACCCAACCCGCAAGAAAACCCAGAAUUCAAAUUUCAAACAGUAACGCCCCCACCAUUCUCACCUAAUCGAGCAACUAGUCUAAGAACUCCAAAGAGACUGAAAUAGGCUUGUUGAGAAUGUCUUCCAUAGGCUUUGGUGGUCUACUGCUCCAGAAAUGGAAAAGAUGGUUUGAUUUAAUGGAUUGCACUAAGAUUGCCAUUGCUAUGUUUUAUCACUGUUGCUGCUGCUCCCUGACCGAGUUCCUGUUUGAAUGCUGCAUCUACAUUGAUUUUGAUAUUUUCCUUCUUUUAUUUUGCUCUUUUUUUGUUUUCUUUGGUUGUUCUGUAUUUAAGUAUCUCUAUUUCCUAUAAUGUUGCUUGGAUUAUGGUUGCUUUAUGUUGGUAAACUGCUAAGUUUCUAUUUUUCCAUAUAUUCCAAGCCAUUAAUCUUACUAUGCUC